AUGGGCGCUGUCGUGAAGGCCGCGAAGGUGUGGCCGAUGGCACAGGUUAGCCUGUGGGUGGCACCAUCGUGCUGCUCUAGACGUGCAUUGUGGUGCUGCUCGUGGCGGCUUUCGGAGGGAGACAGAGUGCAGAACAUAGAGAGUUUGGGAGCUACUCGGGUUUGGAUCAGCAAGCCAUGUCUGUUUGGUUUGGCAAAGGAAGAUUUUAGCAGCAUUGCUACACCUCUCAAUGAGAUUACAAAGAAGGAUGUGCCUUUUGUUUGGGGUACCGCACAGGAAGAAGCCUUCACGGUGUUGAAAGAUAAGUUGACACAUGCUCCUUUACUCCAACUUCCUAAUUUUAAUAAGACAUUUGAGCUUGAAUGUGAUGCUAGUGGAAUUGGAUUAGGAGGUGUGUUAUUACAAGAUGGCAAACCUAUUGCAUACUUUUCUGAAAAAUUGAGUGGGCCUAGUCUGAAUUAUUCUACUUAUGAUAAAGAAUUAUAUGCUCUUGUUCGGACUUUAGAAACAUGGCACCAUUAUUUAUGGCCCAAAGAAUUUUUUAUACAUUCUGAUCAUGAAUCUUUGAAACAUAUUAAAAGUCAAGCUAAACUGAAUCGUAGACAUGCUAAAUGGGUUGAAUUCAUUGAGACUUUCCCUUAUGUCAUUAAACACAAUAAGGGUAAAGAAAAUGUUAUUGCUGAUGCAUUGUCUCGUCGCUAUACUAUGGUUUCACAACUUGACUUCAAAAUAUUUGGUUUGGAGACCAUCAAAGAUCAAUAUGAGCAUGAUGGUGAUUUUAAAGAUGUAUUGCAGAAUUGUAAAGAAGGGAGAACAUAG
rnacentral:rRNA from 1 species